GGUUUGGUCCUGACCUUAAAGUCAAUUAUUUCUUAAUAUACACAUGCAAGUAUCAGCCCUCCUGUGAAAACGCCCUUAAUUUUCCCCAUUAGGGAUAAGGAGCUGGUAUCAGGCACAAAAUAUGCCCAAAACACCUAGCUAUGCCACACCCACAAGGGAACUCAGCAGUGAUUAACAUUAAACAUAAGCGCCAGCUUGAUUUAGUUAAAGAAAAUAGAGCCGGCAAAUCUGGUGCCAGCCGCCGCGGUUACACCACGUGACUCAAAUUGAUUUUCAUCGGCGUAAAGCGUGAUUUAAGAGUAUUAGGAUUGAAAUUAAAUUUUAAUUAAGCUGUAACACGCUUGUUUUUAAGAAAACCAAACACGAAAGUUAUUUCAAUUAUUUCCACUUGAAUUCACGACAAUUAGGAUACAAACUGGGAUUAGAUACCCCACUAUGCCUAAUCGUAAACUUUUAUUUACACUAACAUCGCCAGGGAACUACGAGCAAAGCUUAAAACCCAAAGGACUUGACGGUACCCCAAAUCCACCUAGAGGAGCCUGUCCUAUAAUCGAUAACCCCCGUUAAACCUCACCACUUCUAGCUUAUCAGCCUGUAUACCUCCGUCGUCAGCUUACCUCGUGAGCGAAUCAUAGUGAGCCUAAUGCUUAUACACCAACACGUCAGGUCAAGGUGCAGUAUAUGAAGUGGGAAGAGAUGGGCUACACUUUCUAAUUUAGAACAUACGAAAAAUUAUUUAUGAAAACUAAUUUGAAGGCGGAUUUAGAAGUAAAAAGAAAUUAGUGUAUUCUUUUUAACCCGGCACUGGGGUGUGUACACACCGCCCGUCACCCUCUUCAAGGCCUAUUUAUAGUAUUUAACUAAAUUUGCUAUUCAGAAGAGGCAAGUCGUAACAUGGUAAGUGUACCGGAAGGUGUGCUUGGAG
rnacentral:ncRNA from 1 species